UCCAUCAGUGCGAUUGGUUUCUCCAUCUUCUGUUCCAACCCAUCGUAAAUUAGUCCAAGAACUUCUCCAUCUUCUAUGAAAUCUAAAACCGACCGAAUUAUGCAGAAAAUUUAGAGGCAAUUCAGUUAAUAAAAGUAAUUGAGAUUAUAAAUUUUUCAAAUUGUGGGUAUCUAAUAUUGCAACAAGCUUAUUUCAAAUGUGCACAUGAGUGCUUUGACAGAAGAAUAAAGCGUCAGGGGAUAAGGAAGCAUGAAAUUUCCGUGUUCUUCAAGCUCAGAAUCGUAUUGAAUGUGAGAUGGCCAAGUGCCAGCAUAUAUUAAUACUGAUUUUACCUGUGCACCAACUGCAAUCGUUUUUAGCAUGUCAUCUUCAAGAUCAGUCGGUGUGGCAAUACAUGAAGUGAUAAUGGUGCAUUUAUGCUUUUAAUGCACUAAAAGAAAUGCUGGAGUUUGAAAUCUGAUGUUUAUAUGUUGACGGCAUGAACAAAUGCUGGAGUUUUGGGUAGUUUCUUGAGACAAGAUACCAUAUCUGUUUGGUCAAAGAAUUUGAUGAGAAUGCCUGGAGAAUUAUUACAGUUUUUGACCAUGUAUACUUGCAUAGAUUAUACUCUUUCCGGGCACCGUCACGCAACGUGUGAGGCCCAAAUAAACUAGUAAUCUACAAAACUGAAAGUCGCACAAA